rnacentral:tRNA from 2 species
GGGCGAUUGGCGCAGUUGGCUAGCGCGCCAGUAUGACACACUGGAGGUCACAGGUUCGAGCCCUGUAUCGCCCA